rnacentral:lncRNA from 1 species
CCCGGGGGGCUGCUUCCUCCCGGGCUCAGGCCGCGGGCGUCCGGGGGGCGCGGGAGGGUCGGGCCCAGGGCUGAGUGUCCGUUGUGUGUGUGCGUGUGCAAGUCCCGCAGACAGAGGCCCUUUCUCUCUGCCGACCUGGCCCUCGAUCUCCUCCUGGUCCCCCCUCGGCGGGACGGCGUCCAGGAGGGGACGGGAAGACGCGGCGCUGCAGGAGGUCGAGCCUCGCACAGCAAGGCCUGUCGAUCCUCCCGCUUCUGCUCACAGGACUCGUCUCUGCUGCGAGCUUUGCAAGAGGUCAGGGCACAGCGGCUUGUGACCGGAGACACGGACGUCUUUGGUUCCCGGGCCCGGCCCUGUGUGUCUCCCUCUGUCUCGCUGCCUAGUGACUGCCCCGUGUUUGGCGCCGUUCAGGGGCCCCGUGCCUGGGUUCAGGCUUCAGAGACUCAGGCCGCAGAAGGAGGGACGGUCAGCCUGUGUCCGUGCACUCGAGCAGCCGAGGAGGUGAGUGUGUCCUGGAGGAGCCGAGGGGGAGGAGACAGAGGCACAGUGAGGGGCGCAGAGGUGAGGACCCCCCACCCCGGGCAGCGGGAGCAGGGCCAGCACGGCGGGCCGGGGCCUGCGGGUCGGGGAGGCGCCCGGGAAACCCUCCGAUUGUUCACCAGUUGGAAGGAACCAGCAGAUACAAGUCAAAGUGGAGGAAUUAAAACAUCACGGUGCUUAGUGCAGCUGCGAGGGCGGAUGAUGCUGAGGCACGCACACGCACGCACACAUGGCUGCACGGUGGGCGAUCGUCAUGCGCACACAUGCUCGGUGGGCAGCUGUCACUCGUGUACACACACACGCACCCACGCGCACAGUGGAUGGAUCACAAGCACAGACACACGGCUGACAAUCGUGCACACGCGCUCGGGCACAUGCACCGUGGACGGGUGUCGCGCACACACGCGUGUGCUCACAGGGUGCGCCCGGCCUGCAGCACGCUGUGCGUUCGUUCCUUACCGCACGUGUGCACACAGACGAGAAGCCGCCGCUGGGAGUGCAGAGACCCCGCCGCGGCCCGAGUACCAUCCAUCAUUCCGCAGCCCGUUCCCAGAUCGCUCACUGCACAGCUCCGGGCGCCCCCAGUAUCCGUUAGUUCUGCUCCGCGAGGGGGGGUCUGCCGUGGGUUCCCCAGAGCAACAGACCCCUGCUGGCCUCCCCGCUGCUUCCAGGUCUGUCUGGAACUGGAGGGACCUCGCCCAGAGGAGCGCCGCCGCCGCCCCCAAUGCCACCCCCCGCUGGGGAGCACAGAGCAUCACGCUUCGGGGACAAAGGAAACACUCAGGACAUGGAAUUAGGGAAAUGUCGAAGUCAUACAUGCCAUCGCCUGGAUGCCCGGAGGCCUAG